CAAUGUUGCUUUUAAGUUUAUUGCAUUGUUAUAUUAAGCAUUUAUAUUUACAUACAAUUCUGAAUUAUUUAGCUACAAUAUACUGAAACUGUCGUGAUGAUUCAAUUAUUCAUUUAUAAAGACCUUCUAUCUUCAAACAAGAGUUAAACCCAGUUCUCUUACAGGUGGUUUUGGAAGAAAAAUAAUUACUGACUGAAAAUGCAUGCAAAAAACUACAGUAGUUAGGUUACUAACAUGUCUCUCCUGACUUUCUAACAUUCCCUCAAAACAUGAAUGCUAUACAUGUGUUGUAUGAAAAGUAGCUGGGAAUCUCACAAAAUCCCCAAAUGGUGAUAGAAGGGUGCUGAUUUUUGCUAUGUCAAGUCUGCAGUCAAAUACACAUGUGUAUGUGCAUAUAUACGCAUGUCUCUCAAUGUACACGCAUAUAUGUGCAUGUAUAGAGAAGUAUAUAUAAACACAUAUACACACUCACACACCAGAAAAUUCUAGAGGUAAAUAUGCAGGCUUACGAAUAAAACAAAAUACAAAGAUACGAGUAUGAAAUAGUCCUAAACAAAAACCGAUAAUAAAUAUUCAGUGAGAUAUAUGGCAUUAUUAUAAAGUGCUCUAAUAAAAUCUCACUUGUUAAAAUAACAAUAAAAAUUAUGUUCCUUUUAGUUGAUUUAUAUAAUUUGGUAGAGCCCUUAAAUAUUAUUAUGUAUCAGCGACUCUAUGCUUCCUUUUAAAUUUUAAACAAAUAGAUAAAAGCAGAAAUUACAAGGUGAAGCAGCUAAAUGAAGCAGUACUAUUGGAGCCUUCCAGGCUUUUGUCCUCAAAUUCAUUCGUGACUGCAAAAUUUUAAGCCCUAGAGUUUAUAGAUUAAGAAGUAUAAUUCCAAUUAAAAUUAUGAAACUAAACAAAAUCCGAUUUGAUCUUAAGGACAAUGAGAAAAUGAGAAGUUUCUAUCCUACUUUAAAAUAGAAAGGUUUGUAUUGCAGAAAUAACUGAAUGCCUUAUCCUGUGCACUCCCAUCCUCUUUCCUCAUGCAUGUGCAAUAUAGUUCCAAUGAAACCUAGUCUCUAGGUCUCAUUUCUCCCCAUUCCACCUAAUUUCAAAAGCAACCUGGCUCAUAUAUUACCAUAUCUUGUCCAGUCUGCUUCUACUCUUCUGAUUUUCAGCCAAACUCAUGAAAGAAUACAUCUACAAGAGUGUAAACAUUUUAAACAGCUUUAUGCCAUUUCUUCCAUACCACCAGAAGUUAAAGAGACAUGUGGUAGUAUUGAAAUAAAAACAACUUCAGGAAAUAAAGUGAAACAGUCCCACAACGUGAACCUGUCUCACUGAAUUAAUAAGAAAGCAAAAUAUCUUUUUAUGUUUUAGUGUAGCAAUUUUAGUUUUCUCUCCCCCCUCUUUUGCUGACAUUCCUUGUUACAAUUGCUUUACUCAACCAUAGCAACUUUUUGUGAUUUUCCCCAUGGUUUUAUGUAUAAACCUGUCUUCUGUAUCAGUAAAAAAAAAACCAAACCAACAACCCCUCACCACCACCCCAAACAACAAAACCGGCAAAUGGUUACUUUUAAUGUCUACUGGAAAGAGCACUAGAGACUAACGAUUCAGCUCUGAUAUCCCAGCUGAAUUAAACAGCAUGUAAAUUCAGUUUCCUUCAGGAAUAUGAUCUGGCCCUGAGAGGGCUCCCUUCUCUGUUGUGCAACUUUGCUGGCUUGACUUUCACCCCAUGCCAAGGGUCACCACCUCUUCCCUAUCUAUUCCUAUCAACACCAUCCCUACCCCUAUCCCUGCGUGGGACUUAGCUGGUGCACAGGUCUUGCACUGACUCUCUGUAUGGAGGCAAAAUCCGUAUCAAGCCACAGCAUUGGCUACAUCUCCUGGCUUGCAGUAAAUGCAUAACGACAGCAUUGUCUUUCUGCUCUCUUGCAAGAACUGAGAGAUACUGAGCUGCCUAACUCAAUAUUAUAUUAGUCAACAAUAUACUCCCUACAUCUGAAGGAAGAGAGACAAAUAGAACCUAAACUAAUAACAAAAUCGUAACAGCUGAGCAAGAAAGCAAGUUUUCGGUAUACUACCUGGCACACCACCAAUAUACAUAUUCAUGAGCUACAUGGUAAAGAAUGUACUCAGAGAAAAACAAUGUCCUCAGUUGCACUUCAGCAGUUUCCCUCAUUCAACACCAGAGUCUCACAUUCUGGAUAUAAAACUGUUGCCUGCAGAUUCAGUGCAAUUUCCCCUUUCCAAGGCACUUAAAACUAUCUAAAACUCGAACUGCGAACAUAAGAGUGUGACUCCCUGCCUCCUUAUUUUUAAGAUCUGCUCUGACAUU
rnacentral:lncRNA from 1 species